rnacentral:rRNA from 1 species
CAAGUCGAACGGACUGGCGCCUAGUAGAAGCUCGCCAGACGCGGGGAUCAUGAGAAAUCAUGAGAACCGCUGAUGACGAGCCGAAGCUAUUAGCUGGUCAGUGGCGGACGGGUGAGUAACACGUGGGUGACCUGCCCUGAAGUGGGGGAUAACUAUCCGAAAGGAUGGCUAAUACCGCAUAUCGUUCGGCAUUCAUUUGCCGAAUGAAAGGAGCGAUUCGCUUUGGGAGGGGCCCGCGGCCCAUCAGCUAGUUGGUAGGGUAAUGGCCUACCAAGGCGAUGACGGGUAGCUGGUCUGAGAGGACGAUCAGCCACAUUGGCACUGAGACACGGGCCAAACUCCUACGGGAGGCAGCAGUGAGGAAUAUUGCGCAAUGGGCGAAAGCCAGACGCAGCAACGCCGCGUGGGCGAUGAAGGUCUUCGGAUCGUAAAGCCCUUUUCCAGAGGAAGAGGAAGGA